rnacentral:rRNA from 1 species
GACGAACGCUGGCGGCGUGCUUAAUGAAUGCGAGUCGAGCGAGAACCGGACUGAGGAAACCUUCGGGUGGAAUCAGUCUGGGGAGAGCGGCAAACGGGUGAGUAACACGUGGGUAACCUGCCCCUCAGACGGGGAUAAUUCGCCGAAAGGCGGACUAAUACCCGAUGGUGAUGUGCCAACACAUGUUGAUACAUCUAAAGGCUCCGGUGCUGAGGGAGGGGUCCGCGGCCGAUUAGCUUGUUGGUAGGGUAACGGCCUACCAAGGCUUCGAUCGGUAGCCGGUCUGAGAGGAUGACCGGUCACACUGGGACUGAGACAUGGUCCAGACUCCUACGGGAGUUAGCAUCAGGGAAUCUUGCGCAAUGGGCGAAAGCCUGACGCAGCGACGCCGCGUGGGUGAUGAAGGCCUGCGGGUCGUAAAGCCCUGUCGGGAGGGAAGAAACAGCACCUUCGGGUGCUUUGACUGUACCUCCGGAGGAAGCCCCGGCUAAUUACGUGCCAGCAGCCGCGGUAAUACGUAAGGGGCCAGCGUUGUCCGGAAUUACUGGGCGUAAAGAGCACGUAGGCGGUUAGGAAAGCGAUAGGUGAAAUCCCCCGGCUCAACCGAGGAACUGCUUAUCGAACUGCCUGACUAGAGCACGGGAGAGGGCACUGGAAUUCCUGGUGUAGCGGUGGAAUGCGUAUAUAUCAGGAGGAACACCGGUGGCGAAGGCUGGUGCCUGGAACGUUGCUGACGCUAAGGUGCGAAAGCCAGGGGAACAAACGGGAUUAGAUACCCCGGUAGUCCUGGCCGUAAACGAUGGACACUAGGUGUUGGAGGUUCGACCCCUUCAGUGCUGUUAAGCUAACGCGUUAAGUGUCCCGCCUGGGGAGUACGGUCGCAAGGCUGAAACUCAAAGGAAUUGACGGGGGCCCGCACAAGCGGUGGAGCAUGUGGGUCAAUGGGAUGAUACGCCGAGAACCUUACCAGGGCUUGACAUGACCCUGAUCCCCUGCGAAAGCAGGUCUUCUGGGCAACCAGACAGGGCCACAGGUGGUGCAUGGUUGUCGACAGCUCGUGUCGUGAGAUGUUGGGUUAAGUCCCGCAACGAGCGCAACCCUCGCCGGAUGUUGCCAGCGGUUAGGCCGGGCACUCUUCCGGGACUGCCGGAGUAAUCCGGAGGAAGGGGGGGAUGACGUCAAAUCUGCAUGCCCCUUAUGUCCUGGGCUGCACACGUGCUACAAUGGCGUGUACAAAGGGUCGCGAAGCCGCGAGGCCCAGCUAAUCCCCAAAAACUCGUCCCAGUUCGGAUUGGAGUCCGCAACUCGACUCCAUGAAGUCGGAAUCGCUAGUAACCGUGGAUCAGCAAUGCCGCGGUGAAUACGUUCCCGGGCCUUGUACACACCGCCCGUCAAGUCACGGAAGCCGACAGCACCCCAAGUCCGCUACGGCGGCCCAAGGUGAGGUCAGUGACUGGGACU